AUGAACAUUAGGAUUUUGCAAAAUGUGUCUGUUUCUCCAGCACUGAAGCCAAUCUGGACUUUGGCAAGGCACUUAUCCUACAGGACUGUUUCUUUUAAGAACAAGCCCCAAGGUCCCAGAAGCACAUUUGCUCAAAUAAAGAAGUAGAGAAAAGAAAGAAAGAAAGAAAGAAAGAAAGAAAGAAAGAAAGAAAGGAAGGAAGGAAGGAAGGAAGGAAAAGAAAAGAGAAAAGAAAAGAAGAGAAGAGAAGAGAAAAGAAAAGAAAGAAAGAUGGAAGGAAGAAAGUUAAGGAAGGAAAGAAGAAAGGACUGUAUUCCUUGUAUCUAAUGGAAGAUAGAAGGAAGUAAAGAAACUAAAACUUAUCUUCUAAUAAUCAGGCA
rnacentral:lncRNA from 1 species